ACUCCUACGGGAGGCAGCAGUGGGGAAUCUUGGACAAUGGGCGCAAGCCUGAUCCAGCCAUGCCGCGUGAGUGAUGAAGGCCCUAGGGUCGUAAAGCUCUUUCGCCAGAGAUGAUAAUGACAGUAUCUGGUAAAGAAACCCCGGCUAACUCCGUGCCAGCAGCCGCGGUAAUACGGAGGGGGUUAGCGUUGUUCGGAAUUACUGGGCGUAAAGCGCGCGUAGGCGGACUAGUCAGUUAGAGGUGAAAUCCCAGGGCUCAACCCUGGAACUGCCUUUAAUACUGCUAGUCUUGAGUUCGAGAGAGGUGAGUGGAAUUCCGAGUGUAGAGGUGAAAUUCGUAGAUAUUCGGAGGAACACCAGUGGCGAAGGCGGCUCACUGGCUCGAUACUGACGCUGAGGUGCGAAAGUGUGGGGAGCAAACAGGAUUAGAUACCCUGGUAGCG
rnacentral:rRNA from 1 species